CCACUUAAACCUGAUGACAUAAUCACCUAUGUGCUUGUAGGACUUGGCCAGGAAUAUGAUUCCUUGGCUUCAACAAUUACUUCUCGCUCUGAUCCUAUCACCUUGGAGGAAUUUUACUCACUACUUCUAAUUUGUGAGU
rnacentral:snoRNA from 1 species